ACAUGUUAAAUAUGUAAAGAAACUGAAAUUAAGUUGGUUGUUACUACUAUUUAAGUUAUUUAAUUGGGUUUGCAACCAAAGAAGACUGUUUUCGCACAAUUCUUCCUUAAUACAGAUAAAGGAGGCAGAAUUUCAUUCAAUCUUUGUGUAUUUUAUUUACAGACAUGGCUAAAACAAUACAUGUGAGAAGAGCCAUUACAAAAUCUUUUGUAAAAAAAAAAACAAAAAAACAUUUAUAUAUUAGAUGUGAGCAUGGUGUAUAAUUCUAACAUGACGCCUUCACAACAAUACUUGGACACAUAUUGGUCAAAGCACAGCACACAACCACAAUUUUAUCCAGCAAAGUCUUCAUCUCAGUCUCAUGACCGGUGUUCUGUCGAUUUGUCCUACGGUAGCGCAAAAUUUGAGAUAUAUCCUACCUCAUUGAAAAAUCCUACUGCUUCGCUCCUGUGACUAUACGUAAAGUAACUUUAUCGAAGAUUCUUAUUAGGCAAUGGUAUAUGUUAUUUACAGUGCCAAGAACAUCAUCAGAUUGUCCUACCACUAUAAAAUAAACAUGUAGGAUGAUUGUACAGUGAAACAAUUCUUAUUAAAAUAAAAACGUUGGAUGAUUUUACAGUGCAAAAUACCUUAUUAACCACCAUUUUUUUUCAACCACUUACCAAUCGUUUGUUGGACUACUGGAGUCCAUGCUUUGUCUGCUACUACCAACCUACUUACCUGCCUGCUGCCCGCCUUGCUCUGCUUACCUGCCCUGUUUAUCUAUCGGCUGGAAUCCCGUCUCAUCCACCUCAAAACAGAGCCUCGGCCUGCAGAGCGACCUGGUGUUCUCUGAGAUCGCACGCAGGAUCAGAGACGGCGGUCAGGAGCUGGUGAAGAAGGUCAACGCUGUGUUCGGAUGGAGAUCAGCAAAGAUGGCAGAACCAUCCGAGACUGGAGUGAGCCAGACACUGCAGAUUAUCAUUCAUUCUCUUAACACAAGCAAAGAUAUCUGCCAAAGGGGCGAGGAAUAUAAUUAACUAUUAAGAGAAUAUAUUUUUCUUACCACAUUUGCUGAUAUUUUUGCAACAAAAUAGUUUUUUUCUGUCCUAUCACACAGUCACGUGUGUUUGAUGCACAUUUAAGUGUUUCUAUCGUCGUUUAUGUGCAUGUUUUCUUACCAGAUAAGAAAUGUAUCCUACUUUGUUGAAUGCAUACGUUUUUUUAUGGACAUUUUUAAAAUUGUAUUAGUUUCCAUCAGGUGUUCAUGUAUUUUUAUCUGAUUUCCCAAAAUGUGCAUAAAAAUUGGUGGAUGGAAACAUAGUAAGACUGCAAACAAUUCUCUUACUCAGUGUUUGUGUCUUGUGUUCUAGUAUAAAUAUCUGAAUAUUCUUGAAUCAAGAUGCAUUUACUGAACAAGUAACAUCAUUUUACAUGAUAGAAUCAAAUGUUUUGCGAAUUCGCUCCGAAUCCCAGAUCUCAAGUCACUUCCUGUUUGUUGUUGGCAUCUGUACUGCGUUUGAGCUCCGUCACUAUAUUCUUUUCAUCGACUAUUUUUAAUAAAAAAAAUUUUCCCCCUCCGCGAGACAGGACGCAACGCUGUGAUCAUCGGAGACUCCAUCGUCUGACACAUCCGUGCUACGUUUGUGCACACUCAUUGUUUGCCUGGUGCUCGUGUUCUCGAUGUUUCUGCGCAGAUACCCGCGAUCCUGAAGGACGGCGAGAGCCCCAGAGCGGUCGUGCUUCACGCCGGGGUUAACGACACCACGCUGCGGCAGACGGAGACGCUGAAGAGGGACUUCAGGAGCCUGAUCGAGACGGUUCACAGCACGACGCCUGCGGCGAAGAUCAUCGUGUCAGGACCACUGCCCACGCAUCGACAAGGACACGAAAGGUUCAGUAGACUUUUUGCUUUAAAUGAAUGGUUGUUGUCAUGGUGUAAAGAACAGAAACGGCUAUUUGUUAAUAACUGGAAUCUUUUCUGGGAGCGUCCUAGACUGUUUCGCGCUGAUGGAUUACACCCCAGCAGAGUCGGAGCGGAGCUGCUCUCUGACAACAUCUCCAGGACACUUCGCUCCAUGUGACUAGUAAGACAAUUCUCAGAUAACUAUUAUGAUGACUUUUGUUCCACCCGCUUAAAUGAUAAAAGUACUUGCGCUGUAAAAACUAUUAAGACUGUGUCUGUUCCCCGAAUAGUGAGGUCAAAAUAUACAUUUAAUGUAAGAUCUAGAAAAAAUCUUAUCACAAUUAAACCAGAAAAAUGUAAAGUAAAUGAACAAAAACAAUUUUUAAAGUUUGGGCUCAUAAAUAUUAGAUCACUCACACCCA
rnacentral:lncRNA from 1 species